rnacentral:rRNA from 1 species
AGCGAACGUUAGCGGCGGGCCUAACACAUGCAAGUCGAACGCGAAAGGUCUUCGGACUGAGUAGAGUGGCGCACGGGUGAGUAACACGUAGGUAAUCUACCCUUUGGCGGGGGAUAACGUUCCGAAAGGAGCGCUAAUACCGCAUAAGACCACGUGGUCUCCGGACCGAGUGGGAAAAGGUGGCCUCUUCUUGAAAGCUACCACCGAAGGAUGAGCCUGCGUCCCAUCAGCUAGUUGGUAAGGUAAUGGCUUACCAAGGCGAAGACGGGUAGCUGGUUUGAGAGAAUGAUCAGCCACACUGGCACUGGAACACGGGCCAGACUCCUACGGGAGGCAGCAGUGAGGAAUAUUGGGCAAUGGGCGAAAGCCUGACCCAGCCACGCCGCGUGAGUGAUGAAGGCCCUCGGGUCGUAAAGCUCUGUGGAGAGGGACGAAAACCCUGGUUUCAAAUAGGCUCCAGGCUUGACGGUACCUCUUUAGCAAGCACCGGCUAACUCUGUGCCAGCAGCCGCGG